rnacentral:rRNA from 1 species
UACGGAGGGUGCAAGCGUUGUCCGGAAUCACUGGGCGUAAAGGGCGCGUAGGCGGCUCAUGAAGGCUGUGGUGAAAGUCCGGGGCUCAACCUCGGAUCGGCCGUGGCGACUCGUGGGCUGGAGCACUGUAGAGGCGGGUGGAAUUCCGGGUGUAGCGGUGGAAUACGUAGAGAUCCGGAAGAACACCAGUGGCGAAGGCGGCCCGCUGGGCAGUGGCUGACGCUGAGGCGCGACAGCGUGGGGAGCAAACAGG